rnacentral:rRNA from 1 species
UUUGAUCGGAAGUGAGAAUGUUGACAUGAGUAGCGAUAAACAGGGUGAGAGACCCUGUCGCCGAAAGUCCAAGGGUUCCUGCUUAAAGUUAAUUUGAGCAGGGUAAGCCGGCCCCUAAGGCGAGGCCGAAAGGCGUAGUCGAUGGGAACCAGGUUAAUAUUCCUGGGCCAGGAGGAAGUGACGGAUCUGAAACGUUGUCUGCCCUUAUCGGAUUGGGUGGGCCGCCGACAGGUCCCUGGAAAUAGCCCUCCAUCAGACCGUACCCUAAACCGACACAGGUGGACUGGUAGAGAAUACCAAGGCGCUUGAGAGAACCACAUCAAAGGAACUCGGCAAAAUACCUCCGUAAGUUCGCGAGAAGGAGGCCCCGUUGGCAGGCAACUGUCGGCGGGGGGCACAAACCAGGGGGUGGCGACUGUUUACUAAAAACACAGGGCUGUGCGAAGCCGCAAGGCGACGUAUACAGUCUGACGCCUGCCCGGUGCUGGAAGGUUAAAAGGAGGGGUGCAAGCUCCGAAUUGAAGCCCCAGUAAACGGCGGCCGUAACAAUAACGGUCCUAAGGUAGCGAAAUUCCUUGUCGGGUAAGUUCCGACCUGCACGAAUGGCGUAACGACUUCCCCGCUGUCUCUGAUGUGGACUCAGCGAAAUUGAACUGUCUGUCAAGAUGCAGACUUCCCGCGGUUAGACGGAAAGACCCCAUGCACCUUUACUCCAGCUUUGCACUGGCAUCAGGAUUGUGAUGUGCAGGAUAGGUGGUAGGCUUUGAAACGGGGACGCCAGUUCUCGUGGAGCCUCCCUUGAGAUACCACCCUUCGCACUCUUGAUGUCUAACCGCGGUCCGUCAUCCGGAUCCGGGACCCUGCAUGGUGGGGAGUUUGACUGGGGCGGUCGCCUCCCAAAGUGUAACGGAGGCGCGCGAAGGUAGGCUCAGACCGGUCGGAAAUCGGUCGUUGAGUGCAAUGGCAGAAGCCUGCCUGACUGCAAGACUGACAAGUCGAGCAGAGACGAAAGUCGGUCAUAGUGAUCCGGUGGUCCCAAGUGGGAGGGCCAUCGCUCAACGGAUAAAAGGUACGCUGGGGAUAACAGGCUGAUGAUGCCCAAGAGUCCAUAUCGACGGCAUCGUUUGGCACCUCGAUGUCGGCUCAUCUCAUCCUGUGGCUGGAGCAGGUCCCAAGGGUAUGGCUGUUCGCCAUUUAAAGAGGUACGUGAGCUGGGUUUAGAACGUCGUGAGACAGUUCGGUCCCUAUCUGCCGUGGGUGUAGGAGACUUGAGAAGAGUUGCCCCUAGUACGAGAGGACCGGGGUGAACGGACCACUGGUGGAUCAGUUGUCGUGCCAACGGCAGUGCUGAGUAGCUAUGUUCGGACAGGAUAACCGCUGAAGGCAUCUAAGCGGGAAGCCCCCUUCAAAACAAGGUCUCCCUUGAGAGCCGUAGAAGACCACUACGUCGAUAGGCCGGAGGUGUAAGUGCAGCAAUGCAUUCAGCUGACCGGUACUAAUUGCUC